GCCGCCGUAGCUCAGCUGGGAGAGCGACCGGCUGAAGAAUGCUCGGCAGAGACCGGUAGGUCCGGGGUUCAAAUCCCCGCGGCGGCA
rnacentral:tRNA from 1 species